UACGUAGGGGGCAAGCGUUGUCCGGAAUCAUUGGGCGUAAAGAGCGCGUAGGCGGCCCAGUAAGUCCGCUCUGAAAGUCAGGGGCUCAACCCCUGGAUGCGGGUGGAUACUGCUGGGCUAGAGUCCGGAAGAGGCGAGUGGAAUUCCUGGUGUAGCGGUGAAAUGCGCAGAUAUCAGGAGGAAUACCGAUGGCGAAGGCAGCCCCCUGGGUCGAUACUGACGCUCAUGCACGAAAGCGUGGGGAGCAAACAGG
rnacentral:rRNA from 1 species